UACCCGCGGUCCAAGUCGCAGCCAUCAUUAUUGGGUCUAAAACAUCCGUAGCUUGCUUAAUAAGUUUCUUGUGAAAUUCUAUAUCUCAAAUAUAGAGCGGGCAAGAAGUACUGUUAAGCUAGAGACUGGAAGACGUAAGAAGUACGUUUGGAGUAGCGGUAAAAUGUGUUAAUCCCAGGCGGACUAACAAUAGCGAAGGCAUCUUACGAGGACAGUUCUGACAGUAAGGGAUGAAGGCUAGGGGCGCAAAACGG
rnacentral:rRNA from 1 species